UACGGAGGGUGCGAGCGUUGUCCGGAAUCACUGGGCGUAAAGGGCGCGUAGGCGGCCCUGGCAGUCGGGUGUGAAAGCCCUCGGCUCAACCGAGGAAGUGCAUUCGAAACCACUGAACUUGAGUAUGGAAGAGGGUCGCGGAAUUCCUGGUGCAGCGGUGAAAUGCGCAGAUAUCAGGAGGAACACCGGUGGCGAAGGCGGGUCUCUGGGCCGAUAUUGACGCUGAGGAGCGAAAGCGUGGGGAGCAAACAGG
rnacentral:rRNA from 1 species